rnacentral:rRNA from 1 species
GCNNGUUACGAAUUCGCCCUUNGAGUUUGAUCAUGGCUCAGGACGAACGCUGGCGGCGUGCCUAACACAUGCAAGUCGAACGGCCCGCCCCAUCAGAUCCCUUCGGGGAGAAGAUGGGUUACCGGGCAGUGGCGGACGGGUGAGUAACGCGUGGAGAACCUAUCUUACAGUUGGGGAUAACCUGGCGAAAGUCGGACUAAUCCCGAAUACACUCUUUAAGUAGCAUUACUGAAAGAGGAAAGGUGCUACGGCAUCGCUGUAAGGUGGCUCCGCGUCGGAUUAGCCAGCUGGUGGGGUAACGGCUCACCAGGGCAACGAUCCGUAGCUGGUCUGAGAGGAUGAUCAGCCACACUGGGACUGAGACACGGCCCAGACUCCUACGGGAGGCAGCAGUGGGGAAUCUUCCGCAAUGGGCGAAAGCCUGACGGAGCAACGCCGCGUGAACGAAGAAGGCCUUCGGGUCGUAAAGUUCUGUCCUCAGGGAAGAACCCUCAUGGUAGGGAAUGACCAUGAGCUGACGGUACCUGGGAAGGAAGCCCUGGCUAACUACGUGCCAGCAGCCGCGGUAAUACGUAGAGGGCAAGCGUUGUCCGGAAUCACUGGGCGUAAAGGGUACGUAGGCGGAUAUAUAAGUCAAAUGUGAAAGGCACCGGCUUAACCGGUGAGCUGCAUUUGAAACUGUAUAUCUUGAGUUCAGGAGAGGAGAGCGGAAUUCCUGGUGUAGCGGUGGAAUGCGUAGAUAUCAGGAAGAACACCAGUGGCGAAGGCGGCUCUCUGGCCUGAAACUGACGCUCAGGUACGAAAGCUGGGGUAGCAAACGGU